CCUACGGGAGGCUGCAGUGGGGAAUAUUGCACAAUGGGGGAAACCCUGAUGCAGCGACGCCGCGUGAGUGAAGAAGUAUUUCGGUAUGUAAAGCUCUAUCAGCAGGGAAGAAAAUGACGGUACCUGACUAAGAAGCCCCGGCUAACUACGUGCCAGCAGCCGCGGUAAUACGUAGGGGGCAAGCGUUAUCCGGAUUUACUGGGUAUAAAGGGAGCGUAGGUGGUGUGGUAAGUCAGAUGUGAAAGCCCGGGGCUCAACUCCGGGAUUGCAUUUGAAACUAUCAUGCUAGAGUGCAGGAGAGGUAAGUGGAAUUCCUAGUGUAGCGGUGAAAUGCGUAGAUAUUAGGAGGAACACCAGUGGCGAAGGCGUCUUACUGGACUGUAACUGACACUGAGGCUCGAAAGCGUGGGUAGCAAACAGGAUUAGAUACCCCAGUAGUC
rnacentral:rRNA from 1 species